rnacentral:tRNA from 1 species
UCCCGUGUAGCUCAUUUGGUAGAGCAUGGCGCAUGCAACACCAUUGUUGUGGGUUUGAUUCCCACAGGGGAC